GUCCAGCUGAGGAUAUAGGCUAGUGCUCAGAUGCCACUUUCACUCAAGCUGGUACCCACAAAGGCAAACAAGUUCUCCCACAACUCACUAGGAAAGAGUCAGUGGCUCAGCUUACUGUGCUAUAAGAAACAAUGGGAAAUACCCCUUGAAGUCUUAGCAACACAGAUCCACAGCUUUCAUGGGUCACAUUUUUGAAGAUUGUCUUAACAACAAAAUAUAAACUUAUGCAACAUUGUCUUCCUGAGUCUGCAGACAGACCGGAUCCAUGACUGAGAGG